GGUUUUGGAGUGACAGAUAAGGGGUUGGCUUAGGGCAGGGCUCUAAGGAGAAAAGGCUGGGGUAAUAAGUGGAGUUGGGUCAAGUCCAUUGCAGAAUCUUCUCGCGGUCUGAUCGCACAGUCCCGACUGUCAUUCUACCGAGUUGGAAAGCCACAUGGAGAGCAGUGUUCCAGAUGACCAUAAGCCCAGCAUACCCUUAGUAGAAAAGUCUCCUCAUGUUCAGACAUAUAAUGCAGAGCCUACUCAGUCCUCAAGAAAAGGAUCUCAGGGCCCACCAGGGCACACAGACUUCAUGGAGUGGACACGGACACCAGCGAUGGGACAGAUACUUAAUCAAAGAGACAUCACUCACAUUGAAGGAGCACACACUUCACUGAAGGAGAUACGGAUACAGACUUUGCCAAGGAGAUUGGACCCCAAUGAGAGGACUCCAACCCCACCGAAGAGCCUUCAAAUACACUGAAGGAGUGAAUAUCACUGAGGGGACACAGACUUCACUUAGUGGGGACAGGUCCCACUAAGGAGAUCAGACCUCACAGAAGCAAAAUAGGACUUCACUGAGGAAAUAAUGUCCUCUCUGUGGGGAGGAAGCACGUGUAAUUCUACCUAUAGAUAUUGAGACAGUCAUCAUAUCCACCCACCUCCACCACACAGCUCUGAGUGACCCUGUCUCUCCUUUCAAUCUCUCCCAGCCCUUUCUCUAAAACCCAACAGUUUCCUACCCACUGCCGUCACCUCCUGUCUACAGGUGGUACUGCAGCAGCUGUGCCCAUAGUAAAUGCUAAAGCUGAUUGUCUUUGAGCCCGGAGUCUGGUGUUAGGGAAAGAGUAGUGUGUCCAGGGGCUUGACCUGCUUCCUCCAUCUGCCUGUGGGCUGUGUAAUAGAUAUCUGGAGUACAGGACUCGGAAAGAAAACAUCUCUCAUCCUUAGGAGGUGAAGAAGUAGCACAAGCUGUAGUGCAGUUGCAAUUCCUGAAAAUGUGGAGGGGAUGGAUGGGUUUGGACAGAAUGAGAAUCCACAAGAUUAAAGUAAUGAUGCUGAUGGCAUUGAGUAACUGCCAAGCCCUUCACAAGGCACCUUCCAACCCUUAUUUAAUCCUCCUCAUAAAUCUUUAAAACGAAUACUAUUGUUCUUUCCAUCUUAAACAUGAAGGAGACUGUUUAACUCAAGAUCACACAUACUUUGGCAGUACUAUCAGAAACAGAACUCAGAUAUCUAGACUAUAGAGACCCAUUCUCUCCCUUUUAUCCUCCCCAUUCCCCCCUCAACCCCAUCUUCCCAGACUAUUACUUUUUUUCUCAAAAUGUCCUUUCCAGAACCACAUCAAAAAACUCUUAAAA